AGUCCCGAAGUAGCUGUAGUACAUUGGAUUGCAAAUCCAAAGACGGAGGUUUAGCCCCUCCCGGGGCUU
rnacentral:tRNA from 1 species